rnacentral:rRNA from 1 species
AUUGAACGCUGGCGGCAGGCUUAACACAUGCGAGUCGAGCGGUAACAGAGAGAAGCUUGCUUCUCUGCUGACGAGCGGCGGACGGGUGAGUAAUGCCUAGGAAUCUGCCUAGUAGUGGGGGAUAACUUGCCGAAAGGUAAGCUAAUACCGCAUACGUCCUACGGGAGGAAGGAGGGGACCUUCGGGCCUUUCGCUAUUAGAUGAGCCUAGGUCGGAUUAGUUAGUUGGUGAGGUAAUGGCUCACCAAGACCGCGAUCCGUAACUGGUCUGAGAGGAUGAUCAGUCACACUGGAACUGAGACACGGUCCAGACUCCUACGGGAGGCAGCAGUGGGGAAUAUUGGACAAUGGGGGGAACCCUGAUCCAGCCAUGCCGCGUGUGUGAAGAAGGUCUUAGGAUUGUAAAGCACUUUAAGUUGGGAGGAAGAGCAGUUAACUAAUAUUUGACUGUUUUGACGUUACCGACAGAAUAAGCACCGGCUAACUUCGUGCCAGCCGCCGCGGUAA